rnacentral:rRNA from 1 species
GACGAACGCUGGCGGCGUGCUUAACACAUGCAAGUCGAACGGAAAGGCCUCUUUCGGGGGGUACUCGCGUGGCGAACGGGUGAGUAACACGUGUGUAACCUGCCCUUGUCUUUGGGAUAACUUCAGGAAACUGGGGCUAAUACCGGAUAGGAGCUCCUGCUGCAUGGUGGGGGUUGGAAAGUUUUGGCGGUUGGGGGUGGACUCGCGGCUUAUCAGCUUGUUGGUGGGGUAUUGGCUUACCAAGGCUUUGACGGGUAGCCGGCCUGAGAGGGUGAACGGCCACAUUGGGACCUGGGUACGGCCCAGGCUCCUACGGGAAGCAGCAGGGGGGAAUAUUGCACAAUGGGUGGAAGCCUGAUGCAGCAACGCCGUGUGCGGGAUGACGGCCUUCGGGUUGUAAACCGCUUUCGCUCAUGACGAAGCUUUGUGUGACGGUAGUGGGUAAAGAAGCACCGGCUAACUACGUG